UCAUAACCUUCUCAAAACCCUUCUUCCUCCAUCAGCUUUCCUUGCCGUCGCUCAUUAAUACCCUUCAAUAAGGAACUUCUCCUUCAAUCCUUACUGUUAAACUACUCAUAAAUUACACAAUUUGAUCCUCCAUCUAUCACCUUUACAAUUGGAGUCGUCCUUCUUCUGCCGAGACGGGGACUACUAGGUGACUCUUUCGAAGAUCUCGUACCUUGAGAAUUACGCGUGUGUUUAAGGUUGGUAAAGGUACUUGGCUAUGAGUGAGGAGACGCUUAGAAUAACCACCUAGUCAAAGGACAAUUUCUAUUUCAUUUUAAGUGGAUUUUGUUAUUUAUUUUACGGGGAUUGAUUGUAAUAUUUUUAUGGGCCACCUUUUUGACCACUUAGUUAGUUUUUACUUUAAUAGUUUUAAAUUAUUUUGUUGCUUUGCAUUUAUUUUCUAUGCAUAAUAAAUGUAGCAGUGACACUCCCAAGGUUUGGACGAUGGUUUUAGGAAAUAAAAAUAAGGUUUUUGAUUAUAUAAAAGGUCUAAAUUUUGGGGUGUUACACUUAGGUUCUUUAGUUAACCUACAUAUGACAUAUAUCGACCAAAUAAGCCUAAAAUUUGCAUAAAUAGAUUGUAAUGACACUUAGUAAAACCUUUAGUGCGCCAUAUAAAACAUGUAAUGAGUUUAAAAUGACAAGUUAGGUUUAUUUGUUCAAAUUUGGGCGAGAAAAUGUCAUUUUAGGCAAAAUAUGACCUCUAACGACUAACUAAGCUUUAAAUGUGAAUAAAUAGAUUGGAAUUUGUCUUAUAAAGCUAAUACUAAGUUCAUAAAACAUGUAAUGAGUUUAAAUUCUGCCCUUAGGUUCUUUAGUUCAAAAGUGGGAGCAAAAAUUCCUUAUUUAGCCUACAUAUGACCUAUAUCGACCAAAUAAGCCUAAAAUUUGCAUAAAUAGAUUAUAAUGACACUUAGUAGAACCUUUAGUGCGCCAUAUAAAACAUGUAAUGAGUUUAAAAUGAUAAGUUAGGUUUAUUUGUUCAAAGUUUGGCGAGAAAAUGUCAUUUUAGGCAAAAUAUGACCUCUAACGACUAACUAUGCUUUAAAUGUGAAUAAAUAGAUUGAAAUUUAUCUUAUAAAGCUAAUACUAAGUUCAUAAAACAUGUAAUGAGUUUAAAUUCUGCCAUUCGGUUCUUUAGUUAAAAAGUGGGAGCAAAAAUGCCUUAUUUAGCCUAUAUAUGACCUAUAACGCCCAAAUAAACCUAUAAUUUGCAUAAAUAGAUUGUAAUGAGACUUAGAAACCUUUAGUGCGCCAUAUAAAACAUGUAAAAGGUUUAAAAUGAUAAGUUAGGUUUAUUUGUUCAAAGUUGGGCGAGAAAAUGCCAUUUUAGGCAAAAUAUGACCUACAACGACUAAAUAUGCUUUAAAUGUGAAUAAAUAGAUUGGAAUAUGUCAUAGAAAGUUAAUAUUAAAAUCAUAAAACAUGUAAAAGUUAAAUUCUUCCCUUAGAGUUCUUUAGUUCCAAACUGGGAGCAAAAAUGCCGUUUAAAGUUGGGCUAAA